rnacentral:rRNA from 1 species
UCUGGUUAUAAUAGCAGAGAGGAUACACCUGUUCCCAUUCCGAACACAGAAGUUAAGCUCUCUAGCGCUGAUGGUACUUGGUGGGAAACUGCCUGGGAG